rnacentral:rRNA from 1 species
UACGAAGGGGGCUAGCGUUGCUCGGAAUCACUGGGCGUAAAGCGCACGUAGGCGGACUCUUAAGUCAGGGGGUGAAAUCCUGGAGCUCAACUCCAGAACUGCCUUUGAUACUGGGAGUCUUGAGUUCGGGAGAGGUGAGUGGAACUGCGAGUGUAGAGGUGAAAUUCGUAGAUAUUCGCAAGAACACCAGUGGCGAAGGCGGCUCACUGGCCCGAUACUGACGCUGACGGUGCGAAAGCGUGGGGAGCAAACAGGG